UUAUUUUCUUUGUUUUUGUUCUUUGUUUUGUUUUAUUUUUGUUUUCUUUCAAAAAAAAAUUUCAUUUUUGUUGAAAGUUUUAGGCUAUAGAAUAAUUUGAGGUUGGUUUGUAGAGACUUGGGAAAAAUUCACAAGAUCGGUAUCGCUUUAACACCUUAAAUCUCCUGAAUAUGAAAAUCAUUUUGAAUACUUGUUAUGACAUAGCCUUGAGUUCUCAUUUUUCUUAUAGCUCUUGAGUAGUUUAUUUUAGCAGUCAGCACCAUCUCACACGCACUUUACGCAGGGAAGCCGAUGAAUAUAAGUGAGUGCCCCGAAAAAAAAAAAAACAACAAGGAAUGCACCUUCUAAGUUUGGUGACCCUCACCCGAUCACUUAACCCAACGGAUGUAGAACCUUCAAAAAAAAUUUGAAAAUAAGACUAGUUGUCAGUUGGUUCAGCGGUUUCUGGUACUGAACUUGGUAGGGCGGAUUACGGUCCGAUCCUCCGCAACUACAACUGAAUAAGCAAGGGG
rnacentral:lncRNA from 1 species